rnacentral:rRNA from 1 species
UAACACGUGGGUAACCUGCCUUAUAGUGGGGGAUAGCCUUUCGAAAGGAAGAUUAAUACCGCAUAAGAUUGUAGUAUCGCAUGAUAUAGCAAUUAAAGGAGCAAUCCGCUAUAAGAUGGACCCGCGUCGCAUUAGCUAGUUGGUGAGGUAAUGGCUCACCAAGGCGACGAUGCGUAGCCGACCUGAGAGGGUGACCAGCCACACUGGAACUGAGACACGGUCCAGACUCCUACGGGAGGCAGCAUG